UCCAUCCUUUCGACGAAAUUUCUGAUCCCCUUCACGUUGCCGCCACCGGACGAGUUCCCAUGAUAUACCACCGGCCCUCCUUUUCCUCUAUUAAUUCUUGUCCGUGGUUGUCCAUCUCCGUGGGUACACCAAAGGGAGGAUUUGUCGAUCCUGUUUCCUGGCCGGCUGGUAGCAGUGGUGCGUGGUGGCCCGUUCCGAUGCGGCGGUUGCUGGCUUUGGGCUGCGAAUCCAGCCCCAAUCUCCCCAGAUGAUGAAUCGCCGGCGUUUUCGCCGAGGGCUUCCACGGUGGGUGAGGCGGACGUUCGUGGCAUGAUGCGAUGUCGAGCCGCCUCCGUCUUCACCCAUCUGUAGGCCGCCUCUAAUGAUGGGAGAGGAUCGUUCUUCAUUAUGUCUCGCCGGAUAGAAUCAUACUCCUGAUUCAGGCCGGUUAGAAAUUUGAUUAGCCGCUUGUUGUUUGAAAAAGUUCUGAACUGAUCGACUCCUUUGUCACAACAAGUGAACGGCUGUUUCUGGCAGCGAUCAACGUUGAUCCACAAUCCGUGGAUCCUCUGGUAAUACGUCUCUAGAUCGAGAUCCCCUCGUUUGAUGUUGAUUACUUUGUCUUCCAGGUCAUAUAUCAAGUACGGAUCUGCCUUGCUCUCAUAGGUUAUGGAAAAGCUUUCCCACAAAGCCUUCGAUGUUUGAAUGCUAUGGUGAUAUUCUUGCUGUUUUUCAGAUUUGGUGAUGGUUCUGGAUUGGUUUUGGUAUCUUGGUUAUCGUCUGUCAUGGUUUCUGAUGUGUAGGAUCUGGUUUCUGGUUUGAUCUUGGCUUAGAAAAGGUCGAGAAUCGGUAUCAGGCUAUGAUGAAGUAUUCUUUGAGCCAAAAAACGUUCCUGCUCUUGAUGCCAUGUUUAAAGGUUGGGGAAAGGUUUCAUUGUAUUUCUCAUUCAAAAAUAUACAUGCAUUAUUAUAUAGGACUAGUAAUAUCUAUACAAGGUAAAACUAUUUACAUUAAUUCCAUAUCUCCUAUUCUUGGUAAAGAUAAUAAUCGCAUAUCAUCUCCCUAUUCUGCCGUUAUCUUCCAAUA